GACGAACGCUGGCGGCGUGCUUAACACAUGCAAGUCGAACGGAAAGGCCCUGCUUUUGUGGGGUGCUCGAGUGGCGAACGGGUGAGUAACACGUGAGUAACCUGCCCUUGACUUUGGGAUAACUUCAGGAAACUGGGGCUAAUACCGGAUAGGAGCUCCUGCUGCAUGGUGGGGGUUGGAAAGUUUCGGCGGUUGGGGAUGGACUCGCGGCUUAUCAGCUUGUUGGUGGGGUAGUGGCUUACCAAGGCUUUGACGGGUAGCCGGCCUGAGAGGGUGACCGGCCACAUUGGGGCUGAGAUACGGCCCAGACUCCUACGGGAGGCAGCAGUGGGGAAUAUUGCACAAUGGGCGGAAGCCUGAUGCAGCAACGCCGCGUGCGGGAUGACGGCCUUCGGGUUGUAAACCGCCUUCGCCUGUGACGAAGCGUGAGUGACGGUAAUGGGUAAAGAAGCACCGGCUAACUACGUG
rnacentral:rRNA from 1 species